AAAGUUUUGAUCCUAAACUUACCAUUGUUUGAAACCAAAAUUAUACAUGCAAGUAUCUACACACCCGUGAGAAACGCCCUAAUCAUCUUUAACAGAACUCCGGAGCAAGUAUCAGGCUCAACAAAUUAGCCCAUAACACUUUGCAUCGCCACCUCCCCACGGAUAUCAGCAGUAAUUAAUAUUAGGCAAUUAGUGAAAACUUGACCUAGCUAUGGUUAACUGGGCCGGCAAAUUUCGUGCCAGCAGCCGCGGUUAUACGAAAGGCCCAAAACAAGAAGCAUACGGCGUAAAGCGUGACUAGAAUUUUAUCUUUGCAGCUAUAAGGAGAAAUCAAAGUUAAGUAGUAAAAUACACUAACUAAAAGAAUCUUAACCCCUUAUGCAAAUAGAUAUUUCACUCACGAAAACUAAGAAACAAACUAGGAUUAGAUACCCUACUAUGCUUAGUCUUAACCUAAGAUAUAUUAAAACAAAACUAUCCGCCAGAGAACUACGAGUGAAAAACUUAAAACUCAAAGGACUUGGCGGUGCCCCAUACUCAGCCUAGAGGAGCCUGUCCUAUAAUCGAUAAUCCACGAUAAACCUAACCGCUUUUAGCAAAAUCAGCCUAUAUACCGCCAUCGCCAGUUUAUCUUCUAAAAGAUUAAAAAUAAACACAAAAGUUUUAUCACUAGUACGUUAGGUCAAGGUGUAGCACAUAAAACGGUAAGAGAUGGGCUACAUUUUUUAUUCAAGAAAAUACGGAAAACACAAUGAAACUAGUGUUUGAAGGCGGAUUUAGUAGUAAAAUUUAUAAGAAUAUUUAUUUUAAAUAAGCCCUGGGGCGCGCACAUACCGCCCGUCACCCUCCUCAAUUAUAUUUUUAACAAACAUAUUCAACCAAAAUUCCAUAGAUGAGGCAAGUCGUAACAUGGUAAGCGCACUGGAAAGUGUGCUUGGACUA
rnacentral:ncRNA from 1 species